rnacentral:rRNA from 1 species
GGAUGCGAUCAUACCAGCACUAAAGCACCGGAUCCCAUCAGAACUCCGAGGUUAAGCGUGCUUGGGCGAGAGUAGUACUAGGAUGGGUGACCUCCUGGGAAGUCCUCGUGUUGCAUUCC